rnacentral:rRNA from 1 species
CGUGGGGAACCUGCCCCAUAGUCUGGGAUACCACUUGGAAACAGGUGCUAAUACCGGAUAAGAAAGCAGAUCGCAUGAUCAGCUUUUAAAAGGCGGCGUAAGCUGUCGCUAUGGGAUGGCCCCGCGGUGCAUUAGCUAGUUGGUAAGGUAAAGGCUUACCAAGGCGAUGAUGCAUAGCCGAGUCGAGAGACUGAUCGGCCACAUUGGGACUGAGACACGGCCCAA